UACAGAGGUCUCAAGCGUUGUUCGGAUUCAUUGGGCGUAAAGGGUGCGUAGGCGGCGCGGUAAGUCGGGUGUGAAAUCUCGGAGCUUAACUCCGAAACUGCAUUCGAUACUGCCGUGCUUGAGGACUGGAGAGGAGACUGGAAUUUACGGUGUAGCGGUGAAAUGCGUAGAUAUCGUAAGGUAGACCAGUGGCGAAGGCGGGUCUCUGGACAGUUCCUGACGCUGAGGCACGAAGGCCAGGGGAGCAAACGGG
rnacentral:rRNA from 1 species